rnacentral:rRNA from 9 species
AUGCAUGUCUAAGUUCACACCCUCGUACGGUGAAACCGCGAAUGGCUCAUUAAAUCAGUCGAGGUUCCUUAGAUGAUCCAAAUCUACUUGGAUAACUGUGGUAAUUCUAGAGCUAAUACAUGCCAACCAGCUCCGACCCUCACGGGAAAGAGCGCUUUUAUUAGUUCAAAACCAGUCGGGCUUCGGUCCGUCCUUUGGUGACUCUGGAUAACUUUUUGCCGAUCGCAUGGCCUCGAGCCGGCGACGCAUCUUUCAAAUGUCUGCCCUAUCAAAUGACGAUGGUACGUGAUCUGCCUACCAUGUUUGCAACGGGUAGCGGGGAAUCAGGGUUCGAUUCCGGAGAGGGAGCAUGAGAAACGGCUACCACA